rnacentral:rRNA from 1 species
GACGAACACUGGCGGCGUGCUUAACACAUGCAAGUCGAACGGAAAGGCCCUGCUUUUGUGGGGUGCUCGAGUGGCGAACGGGUGAGUAACACGUGAGUAACCUGCCCUUGACUUUGGGAUAACUUCAGGAAACUGGGGCUAAUACCGGAUAGGAGCUCCUGCUGCAUGGUGGGGGUUGGAAAGUUUCGGCGGUUGGGGAUGGACUCGCGGCUUAUCAGCUUGUUGGUGGGGUAGUGGCUUACCAAGGCUUUGACGGGUAGCCGGCCUGAGAGGGUGACCGGCCACAUUGGGACUGAGAGACGGCCCAGACUCCUACGGGAGGCAGCAGUGGGGAAUAUUGCACAAUGGGCGGAAGCCUGAUGCAGCAACGCCGCGUGCGGGAUGACGGCCUUCGGGUUGUAAACCGCUUUCGCCUGUGACGAAGCGUGAGUGACGGUAAUGGGUAAAGAAGCACCGGCUAACUACGUG